AAAAAACUCUUUAAAAAA
rnacentral:sRNA from 1 species